rnacentral:snoRNA from 1 species
UUCUAAUGAUGAUUAGCCAUGCUAAUACUGAGAAUAUUUAGUCUGGAUGUGCUGGACUAAAUAUACCAUGAGUACAAGCUCUUUCUCAAUGAACCACUGAAGAAU